rnacentral:lncRNA from 1 species
CACAGCAUGGGGAAGUUCCUGGGCAAAGGAUUGAACCCAUGCCACAGCAGUGACAAUGUUGGGUCCUUAACCCACUGAGCCACCAGGGAAUUCCUGGAGUCUUGCCUUUUAGCUUUUCAAAAGAAUGGCUUAAUUUCCCCAUCUCCUUUCAGCAUAUAUAUAGCUAAGUGACUAAAUUCUGAUCAAUAGGAUGUAAGCAAACUGCCGUGUACAACAUUUAGAAAAAUCUUAAAUGGAAAGGACAUGCUGUCCUUAGCUCUUCUUCCAACUGAUGGCUAGAGCUGGGACAUAAGACAAAAGCAAAUGCUAAGGACGGUGGCACCUGAAAAUAGGAGGACUCUACACUGGCCCCCAAACAGUACUGUGUCAUAUACACCCUGGACAGACUACCUCUAUCUAGACUUCUUUCAGGUGAAAGACAAACAAGCUUGCUAUUUUGGGGUGGGGGGGGAUGCACUGAGGGUUUGGGAUGGACAUGCUGUAAAAUCUGGUUGUGAUGAUUGUUGUACACCUAAAAACGUAAUAAAAUCCAUUAAGUAUGAAAUAAAUAAAUAAAUAAAGCAAUGUAAGAAAAAAAGUUAUUCAAACUUUCACCAUCUGGAUGCAAUCAAGAUCUAACUCCUGUUUCACUCUCGACUUUCCCUGAGUGUUCUAUAUUCAUUCCCAACUUCAAACCUUACUUGCAGAUUAAACCUUUCCAAAUCUGUAUCUCCCGCUCAUCCAGACCUGUAUGCCCACUAGCUUACAGAUCCACACUGGACAAUCACAACGUGUCUAAACCAAAUCCAUCAUCUUCCCUGGUCUAUACCCUGUCUCCUCUCUCACUGAGAGCACCACCCUCUCUCUUCAUGACAGAAAUCAAAGCAGCUUGCCUGACUUCUCCCGCUGCUUCAGUUGACACCGGGUUGUGAUCAUCUGACUCCACUACUAAAACUUUUCUCCAAGGAAGACCUAGAUCUUAUUCACUUGUAUUUCCUCAGUACCUACUGUGUGGCAAGAUAGGUGCACAAAUAUUUGAAGAUUAUUCAUAUUUUAUGCAUUUCUUUCCAGUCCUUCUCCUAUAUUUUUAAAGCAAGAUGUGAUUAUUCUAUAAAAAUUAUUUUAAAUGCUACACUUUUUUCAUUAAACAUUAUAGAAUAUAAAAUUUCCCAUGCUAGUAGAAACUAUGUGAAUCAUUUUUAAUGGCUGCAUAAUAGUACACGAGUUAGUAGCUACUACAAAGCACUGACUAUAUGUCAGGAACAGUACUAGGCAUUUUACAUAAAUCUUUACUAGAUUCUCACUUUAUAGAUGAGGAAACAGAGGCUCACAGGAGCAAAGAAUCCUCUGCCUGUGGUGACUAUGACUAAGGGCCCAAAUAGAUAGAGUUCCUGAAAGACAGAAUUUAUAUCCUUUACAUAUAAGAGCAGGCCCUCCUAUAUUUGUUGAAAGAAGAAUCAAUAAUUUACUAGAAGCUAGUAUAUCUAGCAAUUAAAAAGAGAAUCCUCUUGUCUUAUGAAAACCAUAAUCUGUCUUUUUCAUAUCUCAGUACAUUGCAAAAAGUACAUUAAUUAAACAUUAUGUUACAUGCAUUACAAACAUCUUAUUUAAUCCUAACAAUUCUGAGUUCCUGUCAUGGCACAGCGGAAAUGAAUCUGACUAGGAACCAUGAGGUUUCAGGUUCGAUCUCUGGCCUCACUCACUGGGUUAAGGAUCUGGCGUUGCCAUGAGCCAUGGUAUAGGUCGUAUAUAUCUAUCUGGUGUUGCUGUGGCUGUGGUGUAGGCCAGCAGCUACAACUCUGAUUCGACCCCUAGCCUGGGAACCUCCAUAUGCUGUGAGUAUGGCCCUAAAGAAACCAAAAAAAAAAAAAAAAAAAAAAAAAAAAAAA